UACGGGGGGGGCAAGCGUUGCUCGGAAUUACUGGGCGUAAAGGGCGCGUAGGCGGACAGUUUAGUCAGAGGUGAAAGCCCAGGGCUCAACCUUGGAAUUGCCUUUGAUACUGGCUGUCUUGAGUUCGGGAGAGGUGAGUGGAAUGCCGAGUGUAGAGGUGAAAUUCGUAGAUAUUCGGCGGAACACCAGUGGCGAAGGCGACUCACUGGCCCGAUACUGACGCUGAGGCGCGAAAGCGUGGGGAGCAAACAGG
rnacentral:rRNA from 1 species